AAUCACUUGUNNUUUAAAUGGAGANNUGUAUGAAUGGCACGACGAGGGCUUAACUGUCUCCUUUUUCCAGUCNNUGAAACUGAUCUCCCCGUGCAGAAGCGGGGAUAAUCCCAUAAGACGANNAGACCCUAUGGAGCUUCAGACACUAAAGCANNUCAUGUUAAACACCCCGACUCCAUCGGACCAAACCAAAUGACCCCCUGCCCUAAUGUCUUUGGUUGGGGCGACCGCGGGGAAAUAAAAAACCCCCAUGUGGACUGAGAGCACCCCUCUNACAUCCCAGAGUUACCACUCUAAUAAACAGAACUUCUGACCUGUCUNAUCCGGCAAUGCCGAUCAACGGACCGAGUUACCCUAGGGAUAACAGCGCAAUCCUCUUUUANAGCCCA
rnacentral:rRNA from 1 species